GGCUGCAACUCGCCUACAUGAAGUCGGAAUCGCUAGUAAUCGCGGAUCAGCAUGCCGCGGUGAAUACGUUCCCGGGCCUUGUACACACCGCCCGUCACACCAUGAGAGUUUGUAACACCCAAAGCCGGUGGGGUAACCUUUUGGAGCCAGCCGUCUAAGGUGGGACAGAUGAUUGGGGUGAAGUCGUAACAAGGUAUC
rnacentral:rRNA from 1 species